rnacentral:rRNA from 1 species
UACGUAGGGUGCGAGCGUUAAUCGGAAUUACUGGGCGUAAAGCGUGCGCAGGCGGUUGUGUAAGGCAGAUGUGAAAUCCCCGGGCUUAACCUGGGAACUGCAUUUGUGACUGCACGGCUGGAGUGCGGCAGAGGGGGAUGGAAUUCCGCGUGUAGCAGUGAAAUGCGUAGAUAUGCGGAGGAACACCAGUGGCGAAGGCGGCACCCUGGACCAGCACUGACACUGAGGCACGAAAGCGUGGGGAGCAAACAGG